UUACGGCCAUAUUACGCUGAAACAUCGGCUCCCGUAUGAUCACCGAAGUUAAGCAACUUUGAAAAUGGUCAGUAACUAGAUGCGUGUCCGCUUGGAAAAAGCAGGGGCUGUAAG